rnacentral:tRNA from 1 species
UGUCUAGGGAUGGGAAUCGAACCCACAGUGUUCCGCUUACUGGGCAGAUGCCAUGUCCACUAGGCUACCCUGGAC